rnacentral:rRNA from 1 species
AUUGAACGCUGGCGGCAGGCCUAACACAUGCAAGUCGAGCGAGCGGCGGACGGGAGCGUUAUGUCUGGGAAACUGCCUUCUGGGGUGGGAUAACAACUGGAAACGGUAGCGAAUACCGCAUACCAUCUGAUGUGCCCAGCUGGGAUUGGCUGGUAGGGGGGGUAACGGCCCACCUAGGCGACGAUGCCUAUCUGGUCUGAGAGGAUGACCAGCCACACUGGAACUGGGACACGGACCAGACUCCUACGGGAGGCAGCAGUGGGGAAUAUUGCACAAUGGGCGCAAGCCUGAUGCAGCCAUGCAGCGUGUGUGAAGAAGGCCUUCGGGUUGUAAAGCACUUUCAGCGGGGAGGCGUUACCCGCAGAAGAAGCACCGGCUAACUCCGUGCCAGCAGCCGCGGUAAUUC